rnacentral:rRNA from 1 species
GAUGAACGCUGGCGGCGUGCCUAAUACAUGCAAGUCGAGCGAACAGACGAGGAGCUUGCUCCUCUGACGUUAGCGGCGGACGGGUGAGUAACACGUGGAUAACCUACCUAUAAGACUGGGAUAACUUCGGGAAACCGGAUCUAAUACCGGAUAAUAUAUUGAACCGCAUGGUUCAAUAGUGAAAGACGGUUUUGCUGUCCCUUAUAGAUGGUUCCACGUCGCAUUAGCUAGUUGGUAAGGUAACGGCUUACCAAGGCAACGAUGCGUAGCCGACCUGAGAGGGUGAUCAGCCACACUGGAACUGAGACACGGUCCAGACUCCUACGGGAGGCAGCAGUGGGGAAUCUUGCGCAAUGGGCGAAAGCCUGACGGAGCAACGCCGCGUGAGUGAUGAAGGUCUUCGGAUCGUAAAGCUCUGUUAUUAGGGAAGAACAAAUGUAUAAGUAUACAUGCACGUCUUGACGGUACCUAAAGAGAAAGCAACGGCUAACUACGUG